GACGAACGCUGGCGGCGUGCUUAACACAUGCGAGUCGAACGGAAAGGCCCCUUUGGGGGUACUCGAGUGGCGCACGGGUGAGUAACACGUGAGUAACCUGCCCUUGACUUCGGGAUAACUUCAGGAAACUGGGGCUAAUACCGGAUAGGAAUCCUUGCUGCAUGGUGGGGGUUGGAAAGCUUCGGCGGUUUUGGAUGGACUCGCGGCUUAUCAGCUUGUUGGUGGGGUAGUGGCUUACCAAGGCUUUGACGGGUAGCCGGCCUGAGAGGGCGACCGGCCACAUUGGGACUGAGAUACGGCCCAGACUCCUACGGGAGGCAGCAGUGGGGAAUAUUGCACAAUGGGCGGAAGCCUGAUGCAGCAACGCCGCGUGCGGGAUGACGGCCUUCGGGUUGGAAACCGCUUUCAGCAGGGGCGAAGCUUGUGGUGACGGUACCUGCAGAAGAAGCACCGGCUAACUACGUG
rnacentral:rRNA from 1 species